UUUUUCAUUCUAAUCUAUCUACUCUUCUCAUUCUCGCUCAAAAAUGUUUUCUCAGCAUGAGUUAAGAUUCUUUAAUCCAUGUAGCGCAAAACAAGGUUGUUGGGUUGUCACUUCCACUUCAUAGAUCUACUUCGAUAUUUCAUUGUUCUUUGAAAGCGAAAGACGGGGUGAUCUCUGAGCUACUACCAGAGAAGGGAGGAAAUGUAUCAGAAGCACAAGCGUCUCAUCAUAAAGACAAGAAGGGACCUCCAAACCAUUAACGAAUAAAACUAGAAAAGCUGAAAGGCGCACUUUACAAGAGGUCACAGAGGUGCCAAAUCUACAUAAAAGAUCCAGACUUUGUCAUUCAUGUGUGUGUGUGUGUGUGUGUGUGUGAGUGUGUGUGUGUGUGAGUUGGGGGAGGGGUUAGUCACUCGUUUGAAUUUCUGUCAACUAUCACACUUAAUGCAAAUGUAUGGAUAUACUAUCAACAAUUUGAGGAGCAACGAACAAACACAAAGUUUGAUUGAUGAGAGAAUUAAGGUAUUAGUGGCCAACCUAUGUAGUGUAAAGACCUGGUGUUAGACCACCUAUUCUUCCUGCAUCAUUGUUGAUUCCAGGUUCCCCUCCCCUAAUGCUAAAAUGGGUCCAAGGAUCAAAUCAGGCUACCUAUUUUCCUAAUUCCUAGUUUUAGGGUCAGGUGCUCAGGUUCUCUUUCUGUGCUCAAGGUACUCGAAUUUCCAGUCAGGUGCUCUUUCUUCGUUCCUGUCUCUCUCAUUUUUUUCUUUUUUGGCUUAUAUUGAAAUCAAUGUGGAAAAUACAUUAAUGCCUUGGAAUCUUAGGGUGGUUGGCUUGAAUGUCCUAGUUUUGAAUCUUAUUUUAAUUUGUACCCUUUCUACUAUGAUUCUACCAUAAUAACUUUGUUUUUAUAUCUAUUAUGCAAAUUUUCAUGCAAAAAUCUGCCUAUUUUGUGUAUAUAACUCAAGACUCUCUGAUUAAUACAGAUCAGAAAAAUAUUAUUGGCUCAGUAGCUAAUAAUCAAGAACUUGUCUAAUAUUCUUGCUUCUCUAUAGGACAGCAUACAUAUUCAUUUCAGGUUAAGAUAUUAUGGUGUAUUGCUAGAGCAUGCUUCCAAUGGUCAAUUGUCUUUCAAAUCAGACCUGAUGCAUUAUCAUUUGACUGCCAUUUCUCCUUGAGCCUGUCAAUUUCCCACCACUAUCACCAUUUCUUUCCCCUCUUAACAUUCUGUCUUCUAUAUUGAGCUACAAGAAUAAUGGAGUUCAUAACUGAAAUCAGAGCUGAAAUUCCGAACUGAAUUCAGAGCUGAAAUUCCAAACUGAAAUCCAGAACUAAUAUCAGAACUGAAAUCCAGAAUUGAAUUCAGAGCUAAAUUUCAGAACUGAAAUCAGAGCUGAAAUUCAUAACUUAAUUCAGAGUUGAAAUCCAGAACUAAAAUCAGAGCUGAAAUUUAGAACUAAAUUCAGAGCUGAAUUUCAGAACUGAAAUCAGAGCUGAAAUUUAGAACUGAAUUCAAGCUGAAUUUCAGAACUGAAAUCUGCAAAGGGGAGUGUGUGUGUCGUAGUCGACUUCAGUGUCGUGAGAAUAAUGAUAUCUUUUACUUAGAUGCAUAUAUUAAAUACUCUGCUAGGUGUCUGACACUCCAAAAACCUGUUUGUCAUCAAUGAUGUUCGCCAACUAACUCUCUUGUAUGUUCUUUGUAAGAAGCAAGAUCCAGAUGGAAGAUUUUGAGAAAGCUAGACAAACAAGGAUAUAACAAAAUAGAAGCCAGACAAACAAAGAUAGAGCAAAAUAAAAGCAACCGGGGAUAUGUUCACUAAGGGGAAAGAACAACAAACCAAUAAUUCCCGAUGAGUUCUUAAAGCCAUAUAAAGGCCAAAUUGUGAAAGAAACUGUAGCAUAAUUAAUGAAGACACUCAAGCAAAUUGAUCCAGAAGUGUUGGAUACUUUGACUCAGUCACUUGAAAAUGUGUCAUCCAAUCCAGAACUUACAGAUCAUAUUCCGAUUGUACACUUUAAUGAACAGAAGCGAAAUGAUGUAAUGGUUAAUAAUUUAAUAUAUAAUCUUUUAAAAAGCAUCAACUCUUAUUAUUGCGUUAUUUCAUUUUUGUUAUGGUUGUUUGAUAUAUGAUGCUUUCACACAUAGGAUCAAUUGGAUCAAGAUGAAGAAUUGGGAUAGCAAUUUAUGAUGCUAGAAGAACUCUACUUACUUUUACCGUUGUUUUGCUGCUGCUACCGCUGUUUUGCUGCUGUCUUUUUCUGUUACUAUUGACAUUGUUGUCUGAUCUGUUGCUGACUCUUUCUCAUUCCAUUUGCUGCCACUGCUCUGCUACUGCUGGUUGCUGCCAACUAAUGUCUGCUACUGCUGGAAGCUUCCACUACUAUCUGCUACUGUUGGUUGCUGCUAAAGACUAGAGGUGAUCGUUUGAGGGCUUGGACGGGAAACGGGCCGGGCCUAUACUUCAUUUUUUGUCCAACGGGCUAAUUGUAGCUAACCCGAACCUUUUCAUACGGGCUUGAUAAAUUGUCCAAGCCCGCUCUAUUAAUGGGUCGGGCUUGCCCGCGGGCUCACGGGCCUAAAAUAUUUGUUUUACAUAUAUUUAACACUAAUUAUUUUUUUUUAUCA